AGUGAACGCUGGCGGUAGGCCUAACACAUGCAAGUCGAACGGCAGCACAGUAAGAGCUUGCUCUUACGGGUGGCGAGUGGCGGACGGGUGAGGAAUACAUCGGAAUCUACUUUUUCGUGGGGGAUAACGUAGGGAAACUUACGCUAAUACCGCAUACGACCUACGGGUGAAAGGAGGGGAUCUUCGGACCUUGCGCGAUUGAAUGAGCCGAUGUCGGAUUAGCUAGUUGGCGGGGUAAAGGCCCACGAAGGCGACGAUCCGUAGCUGGUCUGAGAGGAUGAUCAGCCACACUGGAACUUGGACACGGUCCAGACUCCUGCGGGAGGCAGCAGUGGGGAAUAUUGGACAAUGGGCGCAAGCCUGAUCCAGCCAUACCGCGUGGGUGAAGAAGGCCUUCGGGUUGUAAAGCCCUUUUGUUGGGAAAGAAAAGCAGCAGGUUAAUACCCCGCUGUUCUGACGGUACCCAAAGAAUAAGCACCGGCUAACUUCGUG
rnacentral:rRNA from 1 species